rnacentral:lncRNA from 10 species
GUUAAUUUUAACACUACUCAUUCAGUAAGUGGUAAAUGGAAAUUCAACCACAGUCCUUCUGAUUCAAUGUCCAUUAAAUACUCUGCUAAAUUCAGUGGUCUUUUGAAUGUAGCACAGUUUUACGACCUAUGAUGUGACUAAAUGAGAAAUCAGAGCCAUGAAACAUGAACAAAAAUCAAGAAGAACAGAAUCUGCAAUCAAUUUGGGAAAGAUGUUAAAAGUAAAAUAACUACUGAUGGAAGGAUUUGAAAUUGCUUUGAAAAAAUGGAAGCCAGCAUUUCUUAAUCAAUCUUGGGAUAGUUGGACACCUGAUUUAAAAGGACGACUGAUUGACUUCAGAAUCUGCCAUUAUGAAGCCUCCACAAGAAAGAAAAAUACAACUGAAGCCUUGCUAGGAAAAUUGAAGUCAAUCUUGAAGGAAAUACAAAGGGCCUCUGAGAAGCAUCAAGAAAUAAUUAACAGUUGUUGAUAGUUAACUUUAGGUGUCAACUAAACUGGAUAAUGGAAUAUCUAGAGAACUGUUUUCAGAUACCUGGCCUUGGAAUGAAACUUACACCAUCAGCUUUCCUGGUCCUGAGGCCUUUGUACUUGGACUGAUCCACACUAUAAGCAUCCCCAGGUCUUGAAUGCAGAGAGUCAUGGGAUUUCUCAUCCUCCAUAAUCAUCUAGAAAAGAAGGCCCGAGAGUCCCUGGCAAACCACUGGUGUAAGUCCAAGAGUCCAAAAGCAGAAGAACUUGCAGACUGAUGUUUGGGGGCAGGAAGCAACCAGCAUAGAAGAACGAAGAAUACUAGAAGACUCAGCAAGUCAGCUCCUUCCACCUUCUUCUGCUUGCUUUAUUCUAGCUGCUCUGGCAGCUGAUUACAUGGUGCUCACCCAGAUUGCGGGUGGGUCUGCAUCUCCCAGUUCACUGACACAAAUGUUAAUCUCCUUUGGCAACACCCUCACAGACACACCCAGGAACAAUACUUUGCAUCCUCAGUCAAGUUGACACUCAACAUUAGCCAUCACAAGUCCAUCCCUUGUCAACUUGAACCCAUACACAUCUCCUGAAAUUACACAUAAUCUUCAAAUAAAGACAAUAAUGAUGUCAUAAUUACACCUAACUUAAUACGGCUAUCCUUCAUACAACCAGAAGUGAAUUAUUAACCGAAAUGCUAUUACAUAAAGUUAAUAACACUUAACUGCUGAUAUGAAGUUAAUAAUGUCACUUGAUAAGGGAAAAGCAAAGGAAAUAAAUAAAGGUAUUUUCUUAGUAGAAGUGUAUACAUGCACAAACAUGUAAGGAGGAAAUCCACAUGACAAUUACAGGUCUCAUUUCUGCAACUGGUCUUGUGGUCAUAGCUGGUAUUGAUGACUACCUUUUUCUACUAACCAUUCUGUAUUCCCUUUGCCUUCAGCUAGCACCUCAGCAGGCUGUUAUUUUUUUACCUGGUGAAGUCACCCAACCCUUCAUUCCUGAAGAGUCUGGGCCAUUUGUAGUCCUGCCUAGAUUGGAUUGUUGUAGUUUUCCACUGACCUUAAUCACAGGGCAUGGUAGUACUAAAAGACGGCCUAAGGGAUCUCCUGUAUUCCACACAUAUUCUUCCUUACCUCCACUGUGGAGUAGUAACCUGAUUUCAUCUUGAUAGUCCAGGUCAAUCACCCAAGUCAACACUGUAACUCCUUUCUUGACCUGUUGACUUAGAGGUGGGAGGAGCCCAAAGUGGCCAGGUGGCAAUUUUAACUUUCAGUUUAAUGGUAUCAUUCUUGUGUCGACUGGUGGCAGAAUUCUUCCCUCUGGAACUAAGGCCAGCAGAACAUAAUGUUGGGGGAACUGGAAGUAAAAUUUUUGCUAGUGGGUCACUAGGAGUGAUGGUGAGUGGUGCCACUUCUACUUCUACCCCUUGAUUCUUAGGCCUGUGAAUGCUGGCUAUGAGGGAAACAGUACCAUAUAUUGGAUGCUGAUUCAGGACAUACUCAGCCUUC